rnacentral:lncRNA from 1 species
UAGAAGUUCAUCACACCAUGAUAAAUCCACAAGUGGUCGACGCACAAAGAAGGAGCGAGCAAAGGCAGAGGAGAAACUAGAUGAAUAUGUUUUGAUGUGCACAAGGCGAAAGGUGCGAUCCCCAAACUCUGUAACAUCUUCCUCAGCAUAAAACUAACUGACGAACCGUCUACACAAUCAAGAGACAAAUCCCAAGAAGGAUAAUUUUAACAACAAUGCCAUGAUCUUCUGUUGUUGUGCUUCGCAGUUCCGUUGUCAGAAAUUAACAACUGAAAAUGAUGAAGUCGCCAAAGGGCUUGAGGAGCUUAUCGCUCUUCACGGAAUCACGCAUCUUGUUAUGGGAGCAGCAGCAGAUGGACGCUACUCGAAGUAUGGAUCACAAUCCCAUCUUUCAUGGCACACGCUUUGGUGCUGAACUACAAAGCUCCUUCGUUUGCCCACCUGUACAAAUUUAAACAUGGAACAGAAAUAUAUGCACGGCAGAUCCCACCCUUAAUACCAUCUAGCAGUUGAUAGUGAAAUGGUAAUUAUAAAAUAUAAUAUUAUAAUAUCCACUACAAAAGUUGAUCUAUUGCAAACUUUUCUUUGGAUAGAACAGCGAAACAUGACAAAAACACAAAGAUAUACUUCUCACUAACGGUCGAGAGAAAAUAGCAAUGGCACAACAGUUAUGAAUUAUUGUGUUGACAUUUCCAAUUUUUCUAUAACAGCAAAAUUUGACUGUUAAAUUUGUAUUCUUGAAACCAUAUUAUGUCAACAUGGGGCAAUAUUGAUAGUUUUUUACUGUGGCCACAGUGCUUUACUUUCCUGGAGGCUCAACUGGUCCAAAACAGCAUGCAGACUGAUGGAGGCAGCAAAGGAAUCAUGCAAGAUAUGGUUUACCUGCAAAGGACAUCUGGUAUGCACCAGGUAGGGUUAUCCUUGGUUGCCCGUUAGCUCGAUAUACACAGCAACUUUAUUAGACUUUUAUGAUAUUGAUACCAAUGACCUACAAAAAGAUAAUAUCAAUGAAGUAGUAGAUGAAACUUUUUUUAAUCUCACCAGUCAACUGUGAUAGGGAAGGAAAUGGAAAAUCUUUUGCAAAGCUGCCACCACCAACUGAAGAGGCACUUAUUGAAGUUCAGUACUUCAGGGAACUGGCACAUGAAGAAUCAACCAAGCGAAGAAAAACAGAACAAGAUCUGUUUUCUGCUCUUCAAAUGGUAAAUAUUUAUUUCAGGAAUUCAUAAUCAAAUUGCAAUGGUUAUCUAUUGGUAAAAGAUAAACUGUCUACUGUACAGAUUGGAGAGUGGAAAAUGUUGCAUCAGCAUGAGAUUUGGGGGCGGCAAGCAAUUGAGGAACAGUACCUGCGAGACAGGCAAGAAGUUAGGGAAAUGAUAAGAAAGUUUGAAGCAAUUUAUGAUCAACUAGAUGAUGUACAAGAGCUGAAGUGGCGCAUUACAGAAAUGGAGACUGCUAGAAAAAAUCACAAAGAGGCGUUGAUAACAAGCAAUAACUUUAUCAAAAUACUUCAAGCAGACAAUGAGAAUCUGCAGCAAGAGCUCAUGCAGCGCAUAACAGAAAUGGAAUCUGCAAGGGAAGGUCACAAAGAGGAGUUGGCAGUGAGCAAGAGUCGCAUCAAAAUGCUUCAGGCAGACAAAAAGAAGCUGCAGCGAGAGUUGAAGCAAUGCAUAACAGAAAUGGAGUCUGCAAGAAAAGAUCACAAAGAGGAGCUGGUAACGAGCAAUUACCUCGUCAAAAAGCUUCAAGCAGACAAUAAGAAGCUGCAUUACGACCUAAACCGGUGCAUAACAGAUAUUCAGUCUGCAAGAAAAGACUAUGAAGAGGAGUUGACAACGAGCAAGUACCUUGUCGAGCUGCUUCAGUCAGACAAGGAGACGCUGCAGAAAGAUCUACAGGCAGCAUUAACUGAAGCUGUAGACUUGCGCAGGAAGAGCUUGCUGUCAUCAGCAUCUGAGGCAGAUAGCACUUCCCCACCAUCAUACUUUGUAUGUCCAAUCUCUCAGGUGAGUUACUUACUGGAAAGAAUCGCGAGUUUCUUG